GACGAACGCUGCCGGCGUGCCUAAUACAUGCAAGUAGAACGCUGAAGAGAGGCGCUUGCUCUUCUUGGAUGAGUUGCGAACGGGUGAGUCACGCGUAGGUAACCUGCCUUAUAGCGGGGGAUAACUAUUGGAAACGAUAGCUAAUACCGCAUAACAAUGGAUGACACAUGUCAUUUACUUGAAAGGGGCAAUUGCUCCACUACCAGCUGGACCUGCGUUGUAUUAGCUAGUAGGUGAGGUAAUGGCUCACCUAGGCGACGCUACAUAGCCGACCUGAGAGGGUGAUCGGCCACACUGGGACUGAGACACGGCCCAGACUCCUACGGGAGGCAGCAGUAGGGAAUCUUCGGCAAUGGGGGCAACCCUGACCGAGCAACGCCGCGUGAGUGAAGAAGGUUUUCGGAUCGUAAAGCUCUGUUGUAAGUCAAGAACGGGGGUGAGAGUGGAAAGUUCACACUGUGACGGUAGCUUACCAGAAAGGGACGGCUAACUACGUG
rnacentral:rRNA from 1 species